rnacentral:tRNA from 1 species
GCCUGUGUGGCUCAGUGAUUGAGCACUGACCUAUGAAUCAGAAGGUCACUGGUUCAAUUCCCAGUCAGGGCA